UCCUGCCAUAAGGACUCAUCCAUUGAAAUCUUAAACAGCAUAAACAAAACUUUAUAUAUUGGCACAAUAUGAAAAUUUUGAGCAAUUCAAAGAAUCCAAUCGGCCAUGUCAAUUCCUAUGCACAUGUAAAUUUGCAAUACGAUAGAACUUGAAGAAUUGACAUCCACGUCCAAAGCAAGGUCUACCACCAGCACCCUACAAAUUCAGAAUUCAAACCGGUAAGCCAGGUUAUGCGCGAGAAUAGCUUCUCCAAUUAUUUUUGUGUUACCCAGUAUAACUUGAACUGGCUUGUUUUACACAUAUCUGUGCUUUAGGAAAAAUAAAAACACAAGGAGCAGAGCCAGUCAACCAAUUAAGAGAAGUAGAAAUAGAAAUUCUGCUUUGUCUUCUAUUCUUCCUACUCCUCUUGACCUUUCCGCUUCUCCACUUAUUUCCCAAAAUAAAAAAAAAAUAAAAAUUUAUACUCCAGCUAAUGCGCAAUAACUAACAUGUCAAUGGCCGAAUAUUUGAAGAUCUUAAUUUAACAAGGAAAAUUCAUCUCUUGUAAGUCAUGCACAAGAGAUGAAAAAUAAGAAAACCAACCUGACGAGUAACUGACCAUAGAAAAUAAUAAUCCGUCAGCGCAGUAUUCAACACAUGGUAAUUCGGUCAAAUAUUCAAGAUUAGAUUUGAAAUGAAGGACCCUUCGUGCACCGGCAACGUAAUGCAAAAUCACUUUUCGAACUAGGCACCUAGAGAACCAUUUGGAAAUCAGAACGAGAAAGAGAACAGAAGUGAAAACCGACAAUAGACACAAUUUCCGUAUCUGAAAUAUGUUGCUUGCAUAUUAAUGAGGAUUUGUCCCGUCCGAAGGCAAAUAUGUGAAUGAUUAAUUCCAGAAUCAUGGAUGGUGAUGAUACCAACAUUGUAUACCCGAGGACGUUUUCCUCGAGGACUCCAUACAUGCUCCUCCUCGCUUUUUCUGCCAAAUGUCCUCGAGGUACUUUGGUCCUCGAGGAAGCUUCUCAGGGACUUGCUCAUACGAAUAUG
rnacentral:lncRNA from 1 species